ACCUUAAAUGCUAGUUUGGGAACAAAAACUUGAUUUAGUGCUAUUUUUGUUUUUUUCUCAAAUAUUAAUUUACAAUAAUUUUUCUCAGCUAUUUAACUAUUUGGAUGUUUGACAACAAAACUUUAGGUUUUUCUUUUAUAAUUAUGCAACCGUGUUUUGUCAUCCCAAUGGACCAAAACAAAAUAAGAUUCACAUUGUACUUUGACCUAUACAAGAUAUACAGAUUAUCAUUUAUUAAAUAUAUAUAUAUAGUAUGAUAUACUCUUUGUAAUUCAUGCAGACGACCAUCUAUAACCAGUAUGUUCUCUAAUUAUAUAGGUCUGUAAUUAAUGCACAAGUGUAAACAAAUUGUACGGGUCAUUUUGAUUUUAUAUUAGGGUUAUUUUGUAUAAUGUCCAUACUGAGGCAAAAAAAAAAAAAUGAUAUGUAAGGAUCACACGCUCGGAUGUAACUUAUAUUUUAAAAUGACAAUUUUAUCAUUUAUAACGUUUGGCCAUAACGUCCGUGAAAUACAAGGUCCUUAUGAAUGGAGAGCCAAGAGGAAAUAUUGUUCCAGGUAGAAGUUUACGCUAAGGAGAUUCCUUGUUUCCUUUCAUUUUUAUUCUAUGCACGGAAGCGCUCGUUAGCCUUCUUAAUCAUGCAGAGAACCAGGGGAAGAUAACAGGGAUGCGUGUCACACGCGCGUGUCUGUCGGUAUCCCACCUUAUCUUUGCUGAUGAUAGCCUUUUCUUCUGUAAGGCGGAGCCCCGUGAAUGUGAAGAAGUAAUGAAAGUAGUCAAGAGAUACGGCAAAGCGUCUGGACAAUGUAUUAAUUUUGAUAAGUCAUCCUUACUCUUUGGUAAGCGGAUUAAUGCGACCACGAGACAAGAGCUUAAAGAUGUGCUUGGAAUACAGAAUGAUGGAGGAAUGAGAACUUACCUUGGUAUCCCAGAAGACAUAAGUGAAUGGAUGGACAGGAAGAUGACUCUCCAAAGGUGGGAAGGAAGUGUUGAUUAAAUCUAUUCUGCUCGCUCUACCGACAUACGUUAUGUCUACUUUUCUACUCCCUUUGGAGAUAUGUGAAAAUCUUGCCAGUGCCAUUGCACAAUUCUGGUGGAGUUCAAAUCCACCAAAAAGAGGAAUACAUUGGGCGAAGUGGGAAAAAGUCUGUUUACCCAAAGAGGAGGGUGGAAUCGGUUUUCGAAUGAUCCAUGAGUUCAAUAUGGCCCUUUUGGCUAAACAACUAUGGAGGCUACUUCAAUUCCCUGAUUCUCUGGUUGCACGGGUAUUAAGAGGAAGAUACUAUAGAUUGAGUUCUCCACUAAGAGUGAAUAAUGCUACAAGCCCAUCCUAUGUGUGGACAAGCAUUACAGCCGCAAGGAAGUUGCUACUACUAGGGAUCAGACAGAAGAUACAUACAGGGUACGAAGUUAAGGUGUGGGAGGAUCCAUGGAUUCCAACGACCCCUGCGAGACCAGCUGUCCCCGUAGCGCCAGUUAUGCACCCAAAUAUGAGAGUCAGUGAUCUUAUUGAUCAGGUAUCGAAGGAGUGGGAUGUUGGUUUAUUGGAAAAUUAUGUUACCCCUGGAGACAUACCUCUCAUAAGGAGUUUAGCCAUAAGUUCAACCCAUCGUCGGGAUUCUUUCUGUUGGAACUACACAAGGAAUGGCCAAUAUACGGUUAAAUCUGGAUAUUGGCUGGCAUAGAAUGUAUUAACACCAGCGGUAGAGAAGGAAAUUGUAGAGCCAAGCAUCAAAAAGCUCCAAGCCUUCGCUUGGAAGAUAAAGGCGCCGAAAAAGAUAUGUCAUCUUAUUUGGCAACUAUUAACUGGUCAUGUGGCAGUAACGAGGAACUUAACAAGACGUAAUAUGAGGUGUGACAACUAUUGUCCAAGAUGCGGAGAAUUAGAAGAAACUGUGACCCAUGCAUUUUUUGAAUGCCCGCCUGCUCUUCAAGUCUGGUCAUUAUCAUCGACUCCAACAAGCCCGGAUAUAUUUCCAGUAUCAAGCGUCUACACGAACAUGGAUUAUUUGUUAUGGAGAAAGAAUAGCAUCAUUGAGCCGGAAUAAGAUAGGGAUCCUUAUCCCUGGUUGCUAUGGUAUAUUUGGAAGGCUAGGAACAACAAACUCUUCAGAGGUAUAGAUAGAGAUCCCUUGGAGCUAGUUCGACAUGCAGAGAGUGAAUGCCAGGCCUGGUUUAAUGCUAACGAUGUACAACCAGUGGUCCAACCAGUGGUACAAGAUAAUAUUUCUGAGGUAGACCAAGCCAUAAGCUUGGGUAACAUAUGCUUGUUAGAUGGAUCUUGGACAUCUUCUGCUCACAUUAGUGGCUGCGGCUGGGUAUGGAUGGACAGCGCGGAGAACACUCAACUUAUGGGAACAAAGAAUUUCACUCGACUCGAAUCAGCCUUGCAUUCGGAAGUAGAAGCAUUGCGGUGGGCAAUGGAGAAUAUGCUUCAAUACUCAACAUGUCAACGCUUCGGGACAGAUUGUAAGGAGCUGAUUGCAAUGAUAAAAGAUCCACAUGCUUGGCCAAGCUUUGCAACAGAAUUGGAGAGGAUAGAGACGCUACAGAUAUGCUUCCUGGAAUUCAACAUCAUUCAUGUUCCACAGGCGCGAAAUCAGAUUUCAGAUUUUCUAGCUAAAACAACAAAAUCCUUCCAUAGGGAGUUAUUUUUUAUUGGUUGUUCUAUUCCGGUUUGGUUACCCAGACCACCUCAAGCUUGAGUAAUAGAAUAGCCUUUUGACGUCAAAAAAAAAAAAAAAAAAAAAAAAACGUUUGGCCAUAACAUCUACGCACGAUACACUUCAGUUUUAAAUAUAGACAUAUAGAAUAUAAUAGUAUAUUACGGAAAUAAUAUACAAGUACUAGUUCAUAAUGAUUAUAUUUGAGAAAGUGAAGAAAAUAACAGAAGAAGAAGAGUGAGAAGGAGGAGGCAUAAUAUAUUGUAUCAACAAAAUAGAAUAGUAUACGAUAAUAUUACGAUAGAUAUUGGGUUGAAUGAAAAAGGAAACUAGCAAAUUUUAUAACAUAUUUAGGGUCCGAAUAGCUACAUAUGGAAGAACUAUGGAAUAAAUGUGGUGCAUUCCUUAAUUAAGGUAACAAAAACAUAUAUCUAUAUAAAUAUAUGUAGAGAUUUUUUUAUUAUACUGCGUGCGGUGCGGUUUGUAAACAUUUGGACCUUUAGAUUUUUGUGACUUUAUUUGCAUAAAGUUUUAGACUAACCAAUUCAUACCAGUGGUCUUCAAUUGUUUAUAUAACCAUGAAAUCUUAUUUUGUGUUAUCAUCGGGAAAAUAGUAUAUAGCAUGUGAAGAAUUUCAAUUUAUAUUCAUAUUUUUAAGAAAUAUAUAUCCGUUGAAAAAAAACAAACUAUAAUAUAUAUAGAAGAAUCUAAAUAUAUUUUUCAGUAUAAUUUUUGGUUUAUAAAAAUUUGUAUUAGAAAGAUUAAAGACAAAGCACUGUAGAUGAGGUGUAAUUUUUAGUAACAUAAGAAAUAAAAGUAAAAGAGAGAGAUGAAAAAUGAGAGUUGGAGAGUUCAUUUGUACAUCUUACUCACGUGAGAGUGAAAUGUAUUUUCGUCUAACUACUCAAUAAUAUAUAAUGUAUCAUAUCUAUAAUUUUGUUAUGGUUAUUUUCCUAAUUAAAGGUUUUUAAUGGUUGUUGAUAUCAGUUUCCCUUUAUCUAUCUAUCUAUAAUAAUAAAGUUACAUUUUCUCCUUUCUCCUGCUGUCACGUCAUCAAGAAGGAGAGGGCAAAAACUGCCACGUGGACUCAUAAAAAUACCGAAGACGUCUUUGAUUUUGAGUUGAGGUUUGCCGUGAGUUGGUAUUUUGGUUUCAAUUUGCAGAUGGGCUUUUAGAAACCCUUUUAUAAAGCCUAACACAAAUCAAGGGAAAAUCAAGGGUUCUUCUUCCUCUUCUGCAAUCAGCAGCCGAUAUACCAGAAAACUCAAGCAUCCAUCUUCUCAUUGUAACGUAUCACCUCGCAUUAAUAGGCCUCUGGUCUUCGGCGAUUUAUUCACUUAGUUCAUUCAAGACCUGAAUCAAAAACUAAAAGGUCGUGUCGUUCUCACAAUCGUCUUCUUCGAUAGAUCAAGGGUUCUUCGUGUGAUUUCAUUCACGAUAUGAUUCUUCUGGAUGCUAAGGUGAUUCUGUUAUUUAAAUUCAUGUUCAUCAUUGUUCUGAACACACGGUAGUGUUUAGAUUCAUAUUUAUCAGAAUUAUACUUUUGGUACUAUUUUUUUUCUCUUUACGAAAUGGUUUGAAUCCUGUUGUUUAUUAUUAUUAUUAUUUUUGUAAUCGUUUUCAAGCAACACUCAUUCCAGCCACUAUCACAGGCGACUCUUGAAGGCGGGUUCUAUAUACUUUUCACGUCUAAAUAUAUUCGAUUUCAGAAUCUGAACUGAAAUUUGCCUGUUUGCUUAGUAAUUGGUGAGGACUAGGUUGACUUUAGUCUUAGGAUUGCUUCCCUAGAUUCACACAAGUUGUGAUUAUAAAAAUGGAAACAGCUUUCUUUUCUCGGUUUCAAGAAUCAGAAGCACUAAGUUGUUUUUGAUUUUUUUUUGUUUUAGUGUCCUAAACCAUUUUGGGUUUUUGUUAUUUUUCUCUGUUGUUACAGGGAAGAUCACCGAUCAGAUCUGCAAAGGAUUUAGAGGAAAACGUCUCCUGAGCGGCUCAACCCGACUGCCGAUUCUUACACCAACCACGAGGUUUCCUUCAUCAUUAGUGAGUCUAUCAAAUAUGGACAUUGUCAUUAAGGAGGCUAGCGCAAAGGAAACCACUGACGUCAAACAACUAAACAUGAUAUAAAAUGAAGUCGGAAUUAACACUGAACAGGCCUGUAAGGCUGACGGAAGAGUAUUUAUAGGGAAUGCUUGAAUCGCCAACUGUAUUGAAGAAGAAGUUUCUGAUCAACUGAGAGGUUUACAUGGUCAAGCUACCACGGCGAUGCUGCAGCUUCCUGAACCUGUUGCGGACACUCUACCAAAUGGUCUAAGAGUUCCAGAGUUCCACUUGGUAAGCCAUACUAAGCCACAUUCUAACAUUUUCCCUCCUCACAUUUAACAUUGUAACCUUGCGAUGUUGUUGUUCUCGGCUUUCAGGUGUAUCUUAAUCGAUAUUCUUCAUUAUAUCUUAAUGUAAAUUAUCUUUUUCACCUUUGACAGUUUACUGUGAAUGCAAGUUAAAUCUUCAUGCGCUGUCUCGGCAUCGUCUUUAGCCAAUGCAAACUUUCACAAUAAAAGAUACACAACCUCAACUGUAUGCUUCAUAGACAUCAUUGGAUUUGUUGGUGAGAUCAAUUCCACCUUGAGAUCAAGUCCACCUUCAAUGACCAUGAGCAACAACUCAAUGGAUCAUGGUUAACCUCUAGAUUGACAUGUACAAUCCUUUCUUCAUUAACACUGAUUUGUUUGCAUAUUACAAUGUUUUUUAAAACCUGAAUCCCAAACUCUUCAACAAGUACAAAACCUCCACUGCAGCGAGAGAAUUAGUAUGUCCAACAAUAGAGUUCAUAAAAAUCAUCUUCACCAUUUACUUCCUUUUACAUUCAAGCUUUCAAGUUUCACUGUGAUUUUCUAUUAUAAGUCCACAUUUUCUGCUAUUAAACAGUACACUGAAAGCAAUAACUAUAUGAAUGUGCUACAACAAAAUUAAUUAGCUCUUUGCGUCCAUAUUUUCUAAGUAAGACGGCAUCUCCUCAUGAAAUCUAUCUAACUCAAAACG